GUGAAGAGCUGAGCCCAGGCUGGGAAGGUGUCUGGCCUGUGAAACCCUGCAGUUUGCCUAAAACAACAUUUAGGUUCCUGUAUGAACACUAUGGCUAUACCCUGGUUCUUUGAGGAACAGUAUGGGGAAGAGAUGAAUUAUAGCACAACUUGGUGAGUGAAAUGGUAGGGGCCAAAUCCUGCUUUCCAGUAUUCAGUGUGGUUCAUCCAUAUCCAGGAUAGAAUUUCACCUUGGGAAUAUUACUUAAGCAUGUGCAUGUCUCAUAAUUCCAUUAGGGAAGACAGUCUGGAAAUACUGGCAGGUGUCAGCCAUGCUGUCUAUCUUUCAUGGGCUGAUAUUUCCUUUUGUCCUGCUUAUCUGGUUUAUAUGCUCAUCAUUAGUAGAUUUGCAGUAACUAUACAGUUCAAAGGCAACUUUCUCUAACGUUCUAAAAUGUUCACUAUUUCUCAUUAAACAUGGCAUUGGCAGUUCUUAGACUUGGGUACAACCACAAUACAAAUAGCUCUCCACUAAAAGUAUCUAGGAGCCCCAGUCAUUGACCAGGACACCAUUGUACUAGGUCCCCGUCUCAGAGAACUUAGUCUUCUCAUAAUUCCCCCCUGGCCACCCAUUUGUAUCUGUCUCCUAACACUCAGACUCUGAAGGCUUUUAGUCUUUAAUCUGUACACUUCUUUCAGGCUGUAACUCACCAUUUUUAUUGUACUUUUUUCUCUCUUUGGAAGCAUAUACAUUACUUCAACUCGGAGUUUGUUGCUUAAGACUUAUUUGUAAUUAGACAAUUGUUGCUCUUUGUUUUAAUGGAAGGCCAGGAACAUUGUCCCAAAGAAGAAAACUGACAAUCAUCGCUCCAGGGUAGCUUAUUUUGUUUGUGAAACUCCCACAAGUGUUCUGAUCAGAUCCAUGCGAGUAAUGCUUUUCACACAUAAAGCAGUUUGCUUUCCAUUUCUCUCAGAAAGAGCUGACUCAGGUUAAUGUGACCUCAGUUUAUUUAUUAAUACAAUGUCUUUCACUAUUUACUGCUGAAAAACUGACGACAAAUGAUUGGACUUU